ACAGCCACAGAUGCACCUGUGACCCCUAUUUUUCCCAGAUGCAUUCUCAAGCUGGCUCAAUAAAUCUUGACGAUUUGAGACUUAUGCCUCAAUCACUCAUUUUGGUUGUCAGGCUCUAUUAUCAAUAGUUUUCAUCUUUAAAAAAUCAAUUAGAAAAGCUGUCUUCCUCUAUAAUGCCCUGAAAUGGUUUCAGAAAUAUAAGAAUUUUCCUUUUUCUGACAGUCUGGUAGAAAUUAUCUUAAGAAACAUUUACUUUUGUUGAAUUUUUCUUUGGGCAGCUUGGAAAUCCUGUUGUCUGUGAAGGAUGAGAUGGUGACUGGCCCAAGGCUAUCACGUGAAAGAAGUCGCCACUUUGCCUCUCAACCACUGUGUGAAGUAGAACAGAUAUUUUACAGAGAAGUGGGUAUCUGACAGCUGCCAAGUGCACAAUUUCUGGGCAUAGAGUAUCUGAAGUUAAGCACCCAAGUCUGGACCGAAGGUCUCCAUGCAAGUAAAGGAUAAUUGGAGAACAGAUGAAGUUCUAGCCACUAGGACGGGACAAACUGAUUUCAUCGGUGUAGGGGAAGAGCAGCAACAAUAUUUGGAAUGGAACACCUUAGAACCUGGAGGUGUGGCGAUUGAGGAGAACAAUUCAUGCUCUAUUUUUUCACCUAGAUCCAAAACUUCAGCCUGGCAAAAUAAUUAUGUGGUCCAUGGAGUCUAUGCAGCAACUGCAGCUAACAGACUGACCCACAACCUGGUUUGUUAUGCCUGUCUAUACACUAUGAAAACAGAAAAUCUAAUAUAGACAUAGCAGGUCCUGAACUACUUUGCUGUGCCUGAUGCCAUCAAUAGCAGCCUCCCAAUAUGGAGCCUUAUCAUAUGUAUACAAAUACAAUCACUAGCACAACCUUGUUUCAAUUCGAUACAAAUCUGCAAGCUUCUCUUAUUGCCAGAACAGCCUUGGAAUAUACCAUGUAUGAGAAUGAGACAGCUACAACUACCAGUGAGACUGCUCACCUGGCUUAAUCAAACUAGUGCAAUGGCUAACCAAAUAAAAUAUAACAGCAAAUCGAAAA